AGAGUUUGAUCCUGGCUCAGAACGAACGCUGGCGGCGUGGCUAAGACAUGCAAGUCAAACGGACUAUACAAUUGAGUAAUCGAUCGUAUAGUUAGUGGCGAAAGGGUUAGUAAUGGAUAGGUAACGUACCCUGUGCUUCGGAAUAGCGUCUCCCGACUUGUCGGGAUACCGAAAGGGUCGGUAAUACCGAAUAAUAUCAGUUGCCGAUGGGCAACUGAUCAAAGAUUUAUCGGCAUUGGAGCGGCCUAUCUCCUAUCAGCUUGUUGGUGAGGUAACGGCUCACCAAGGCAGCGACGGGUAGCGGGACUGAGAGGUUGACCCGCAACAUCGGGACUGAGACACUGCCCGGACCUCCACGGAGGGCUGCAGUAACGAAUAUUGUGCAAUGGGCGAAAGCCUGACACAGCGACGCCACGUGUAGGAGGAAGUCCUUCGGGAUGUAAACUACUGUCAGGGGUAAGAAAGUGCGCUUCGGCGCAUUGAUCUAACCCAAAGGAAGUCACGGCUAACUUCGUGCCAGCAGCCGCGGUAAGACGAAGGUGGCAAGCGUUGUUCGGUGUUACUGGGCUUAAAGGGUGUGCAGGCGGAAAGGUAAGCGUCUUGUGAAAGCCCCCGGCUUAACCGGGGAAUUGCUUGGCGAACUACCUUUCUUGAGGCAGGUAGGGGCGCAUGGAACUCUUGGUGGAGCGGUGGAAUGCGUAGAUAUCAAGAGGAACGCCGAUGGAGAAAUCAGUGCGCUGGGCCUGUCCUGACGCUGAUACACGAAAGCGUGGGGAGCGAACGGGAUUAGAUACCCCGGUAGUCCACGCCGUAAACGAUGUCUACUAGUCGUGAGGUUCUGACACCUGCACAGCCGAGCAAAGUGUUAGUAGACGCCUGGGGAGUACGGUCGCAGGCUAAACUCAAGGAAUUGACGGGGCUCACACAGCGUGAGCAUGUGAUCAUCGAGCACGCGCAGACUUACCUGGGUUUGACUGCUGAUGCUAUCUGAAACAGGGAUGCUGCUCGGGUGAACUGCACAGUGCUGCGUGCCUGUCGUCAGCUCUGUUCGUGAGAUGUUCGGGUAAGUCUUAACGAGCGAAAACACCUGCCGUAGUUGCACGGUCAUGUCGGGAACU
rnacentral:rRNA from 1 species